CUAUAGAGACUGCCGGUGUCAAACCGGAGGAAGGUGGGGAUGACGUCAAGUCCUCAUGGCCUUUAUGACCAGGGCUACACACGUACUACAAUGGCCGGUACAAAGGGCAGCCACUUAGCGAUAAGGAGCCAAUCCCGUAAAGCCGGUCUCAGUCCGGAUUGGAGUCUGCAACUCGACUCCAUGAAGUUGGAAUCGCUAGUAAUCGCAGAUCAGCACGCUGCGGUGAAUACGUUCCCGGGCCUU
rnacentral:rRNA from 1 species